rnacentral:lncRNA from 1 species
CAUGUGCUGUGCAGAGGCAGCUGUGGAGGUGCUGCUUCCUGCGGCUCCCACGACGAGCCGCCUGGCGCUCCCACCACGCACGAGCGGCCUUGCGUCUGCCUCGAUGGGGCCUCGGGUGGGGCCGGACGGGCUGGUGCAGCGCAUGGGUGCAGGGAGCAUGCAGGUGGAGACGCACUGGCUCCCGGGGCAGCCUCUGGUUUGAAGCAGGUUUGCCUUCUCCACCAGGUGCCUCCUGGGAAGCCCGGGCAGAUGGUCCUCGGAGGAAGAAGCUCUGGGGCUGGUGCGGGCCUGGGCCUCUCUCCGGUACCGCAUUGUGAGUUCCCUUCUCCAGGCUACUAUGAAAAUAGGAAGGAUACGACAUAUUCACGACUCUGUGAACUAAGACAGAUUCAAUUUGCUGACAAGUCUGAUCGAUGUCAGGGUCUCAAGUAAAAAGGAAUUUUAUUCUGCUUUGACUUGAUCAUAUGACGUUUCCUGACGUUCUAUACGAAGACACAACGACGGUCUUGGUUUCGAAGAUAAGGUCGUAGUCCUGUCGUUCUACGGAGCACGUCCUCACUCCUCAAGGGCGUGAUUUCUUGCCUUACGAACGUGUCUGCGCAUCCAGGCUUUGAAAGCAUGUUUUCCUCAAUUUUCUGAGUCGGGGGCACC